GUAACGGCGAGUGAAGCGGCAACAGCUCAAAUUUGAAAUCUGGCUCUUUUAGGGUCCGAGUUGUAAUUUGUAGAAGAUGCUUUGGGUGUGGCUCCGGUCUAAGUUCCUUGGAACAGGACGUCAUAGAGGGUGAGAAUCCCGUAUGUGACUGGCUGCCUCCGCCCGUGUAAAGCUCUUUCGACGAGUCGAGUUGUUUGGGAAUGCAGCUCAAAAUGGGCGGUAAAUUUCAUCUAAAGCUAAAUAUUGGCCAGAGACCGAUAGCGCACAAGUAGAGUGAUCGAAAGAUGAGAAGCACUUUGGAAAGAGAGUUAAACAGUACGUGAAAUUGUUGAAAGGGAAGCGCUUGCAAUCAGACUUGCGCGCGGCCGAUCAUCCGAGGUUCUCCCCGGUGCACUCGACCGCGCUCGGGCCAGCAUCGGUUUCGGUGGUGGGAUAAAGGCCUUGGGAAUGUAGCUCCUCUCGGGGAGUGUUAUAGCCCUCGGUGCAAUGCCGCCUAUCGGGACCGAGGACCGCGCUUCGGCUAGGA
rnacentral:rRNA from 1 species